NAAAUAACAAAUCUCAACACAACACAUACAAAACAAACGAAUCUUAAGCAAUCAAGCAUUCUCUUUUUAUAACAGUAAUUUAAAUCACUCUUUUCAAAGCAAAUUUAAUUCUCUGAAAAUUCUCAUUACUUCCAAACAAUAGCAAUGGCACUCAUCUUUGGUACGAUCAACACUAACGUUCUGAAGGAAGUGUUUGGUGGGGCUCGUAUGCCCUGCGUCGCCAGCGCACACAUGGCUAGAGUGGAUGGAAGCAUUCUGAAGAAGAGGGAAGAGGCUCCUCGUGCAAUCAUGCACAAACCAGUGGUCUUCGGAGAAGCAUACGUUACUGAGGCAGACUUGCCUUACACACCACUCCAUUUAGAAACCAAUGCUGAAAUGGAGCGUAUGUACUAUCUUGGUCGCCGUGGCCUCACCAACAGCAAGAAACGCAAAGUUUCUAUGAACAACAAGAGGAACAGGAGAAGGAGGGUGGCCAAAAUGUACGUGGGGCGUGACUCCAUUGUUGAGAAGAUCGUAGUGCCCCACAUCGAGGAAAAGGUUGACACUACAACAGUAGUGAAAGACACUUGCAACGAAGUCUCCACUCGGUUUGUGCAUAGUAACAAACCAAAGCGUAAGCAACAGAAAAAUUUCCUACCUGCCACUUCACUGAGCAGCGUGUAUGCCCAAACUUGGAGCAUAGUGCGCAAACGCCAUAUGCAGGUGGAAAUCAUUAGCAAGAAGAGUGUCCGAGCAAAAGUCAAGAGAUUUGAAGGCUCGGUACAAUUGUUUGCAAGCGUGCGCCACAUAUGUGGUGAGAGAAAAAGGGUAGACUUACGUAUUGACAACUGGCAGCAAGAGACACUUUUAGACCUUGCUAAAAGGUUUAAUAAUGAGAGAGUUGAUCAAUCGAAGCUCACCUUUGGUUCGAGUGGCCUGGUUCUAAGGCAAGGCUCGUCUGGACCUGCACAUUGGUACCGACAUGGUAUGUUCAUCGUACGUGGCAGGUCGGAUGGGAUGUUGGUAGAUGCUCGUGCAAAGGUAACGUUCGCUGUUUGUCACUCAAUGACACACUAUAGCGACAAAGCAAUCUCUGAGGCAUUCUUCAUACCAUACUCUAAGAAAUUCUUGGAGUUGAGACCAGAUGGAAUUUCCCAUGAGUGUACAAGAGGGGUCUCAGUUGAGCGGUGCGGUGAGGUGGCUGCAAUCUUGACACAAGCACUUUCACCGUGUGGUAAGAUCACAUGUAAACGUUGUAUGGUUGAGACACCUGACAUUAUUGAGGGUGAAUCAGGAGAGAGUGUCACUAACCAAGGCAAGCUUCUUGCAAUGCUGAAGGAGCAGUACCCAGAUUUUCCAAUGGCUGAGAAAUUGCUAACAAGGUUCUUGCAACAGAAAUCGUUGGUGAACACAAAUUUGACAGCCUGUGUGAGUGUCAAACAACUCAUUGGUGAUCGUAAACAAGCUCCAUUCACACACGUAUUAGCUGUUAGUGAAAUUCUGUUCAAAGGCAGUAAACUUACAGGAGCCGAUCUCGAAGAAGCAAGCACACAUAUGCUUGAGAUUGCAAGGUUUUUGAAUAAUCGCACUGAAAACAUGCGCAUUGGCCACCUUGGCUCCUUCAGAAAUAAAAUUUCAUCGAAGGCCCAUGUGAACAACGCACUCAUGUGUGAUAAUCAACUUGAUCAGAAUGGAAAUUUCGUUUGGGGCUUAAGGGGUGCACACGCAAAGAGAUUUCUUAAAGGAUUUUUCACUGAGAUUGAUCCAAAUGAAGGGUACGACAAGUAUGUGGUCAGGAAACAUAUCAGGGGUAGCAGAAAGCUAGCAAUUGGCAAUUUGAUAAUGUCAACUGACUUCCAGACGCUCAGGCAACAGAUCCAAGGUGAAACAAUUGAGCGUAAAGAAAUUGGAAAUCACUGCAUUUCAAUGCGGAAUGGCAAUUAUGUGUACCCAUGUUGUUGCGUAACCCUGGAAGAUGGCAAGGCUCAAUAUUCAGAUUUGAAGCACCCAACGAAGAGACACUUGGUCAUUGGCAACUCUGGUGAUUCAAAAUACCUCGAUUUUCCAGUUCUUAAUGAAGAGAAAAUGUACAUAGCUAAUGAGGGUUAUUGCUAUAUGAACAUUUUCUUUGCUUUACUGGUGAAUGUCAAGGAAGAGGAUGCAAAGGACUUCACCAAGUUUAUAAGGGAUACAAUUGUCCCAAAGCUUGGGGCGUGGCCAACAAUGCAGGAUGUUGCUACUGCAUGCUACUUACUCUCUAUUCUUUACCCAGAUGUCCUGAGUGCUGAACUACCCAGAAUCUUAGUCGAUCAUGAUAACAAAACAAUGCAUGUUUUAGAUUCGUAUGGGUCUAGAACGACAGGAUACCACAUGUUGAAGAUGAAUACAACAUCCCAGCUAAUUGAAUUUGUUCAUUCAGGCCUAGAAUCCGAGAUGAAGACUUACAAUGUUGGAGGGAUGAACCGAGAUGUGGUCACUCAGAGUGCGAUCGAGAUGUUGAUCAAGUCUAUAUAUAAACCACAUCUCAUGAAACAAUUGCUAGAGGAGGAGCCGUACAUAAUUGUUUUGGCAAUAGUUUCUCCUUCAAUUCUAAUUGCCAUGUAUAAUUCUGGGACUUUUGAGCAGGCAUUACAGAUGUGGCUGCCAAAUACUAUGAGGUUGGCAAACCUUGCUGCCAUCUUGUCGGCCUUAGCGCAAAAGUUAACUUUGGCAGAUUUGUUUGUCCAGCAGCGCAACUUGAUCAAUGAGUAUGCGCAGGUGAUUUUGGACAAUUUGAUUGAUGGUGUUAGGGUUAACCACUCAUUAUCCUUAGCGAUGGAAAUUGUUACCAUUAAGCUGGCUACUCAAGAGAUGGACAUGGCACUGAAGGAAGGUGGCUAUGCUGUAACCUCUGAAAAGGUGCAUGAAAUGUUGGAAAAAAACUAUGCAAGGGCUUUAAAGGAUGCAUGGGGCGAAUUAACUUGGUUGGAAAAAUUCUCCGCAAUCAGGCACUCAAGAAAGCUCUUGAAAUUUGGGCGAAAGCCUUUAGUCAUGAAAAGCACCGUAGAUUGCAGCGGACAUACAGACUUAUCUGUGAAAUCGCUUUUCAAGUUCCACUUGGAACUCCUGAAGGGAACCACCUCAAAAGCCGUAAGUGGUGGCGCAAGAAAGGUAAGAGCAGCAAAGAAUGCCAUGACGAAAGGAGUUCUUCUCAAAAUUUACAGCAUGCUUCCUGACGUCUACAAGUUUAUCACAGUCUCGAGCGUCCUUUCUUUAUUGUUGACAUUCUUAAUUCAAAUUGACUGCAUGAUAAAGGCACACCGAGAGGCGAAGAUUGCUGCACAACUGCAGAAAGAGAGUGAAUGGGAUAAUAUCAUUAAGAGAACUUUUCAGUACUCCAAACUUGAGAAUCCCAUUGGUUAUCGCUCCACAGCAGAAGAACGACUCCAAUCAGAACACCCUGAGGCUUUUGAAUACUACAAGUUCUGCAUUGGAAAGGAGGAUCUCAUUGAACAGGCAAAACAACCGGAGAUAGCAUACUUUGCGAAAAUCAUAGCUUUCAUCACACUUGUACUAAUGGCUUUUGACACCGAGCGGAGUGAUGGAGUGUUUAAGAUUCUCAACAAGUUCAAAGGAAUACUGAGUUCAACAGAGAGGGAGGUCAUCUACACGCAGAGUUUGGAUGAUUAUGUUACAACUUUUGAUGAUAACAUGACAAUCAACCUUGAGUUGAAUAUGGAUGAACUCCACAAAACAAGCCUUCCUGGAGUUACUUUCAAGCAGUGGUGGAACAACCAAAUAAGCCGAGGCAACGUGAAGCCACAUUACAGAACUGAGGGACACUUCAUGGAGUUCACCAGAGAUACUGCGGCAUCAGUUGCCAGCGAAAUAUCACACUCACCUACAAGAGACUUUCUUGUGAGAGGUGCUGUUGGAUCUGGAAAAUCCACAGGACUUCCAUACCAUUUAUCAAAGAGAGGAAGAGUGUUGAUGCUUGAGCCCACCAGACCACUCACAGAUAAUGUGCACAAGCAACUGAGAAGCGAGCCAUUUAAUUGCUUCCCAACUUUAAGGAUGAGAGGAAAGUCAACUUUUGGUUCAUCACCGAUCACAGUUAUGACUAGUGGUUUCGCUUUACACCACUUUGCACGGAACAUAGCUGAGGUGAAAACAUAUGACUUUGUCAUAAUUGAUGAAUGUCAUGUGAAUGAUGCUUCUGCUAUAGCAUUCAGAAAUCUACUAUUUGAACAUGAGUUUGAAGGAAAAGUCCUUAAAGUGUCAGCCACACCACCAGGUAGAGAGGUUGAAUUCACAACUCAGUUUCCCGUUAAGCUCAAGAUAGAAGAGGCUCUUAGCUUUCAGGAGUUUGUAAGUCUACAAGGGACAGGUGCCAACGCCGAUGUAAUUAGUUGUGGUGACAACAUACUAGUAUAUGUUGCCAGCUACAAUGAUGUUGAUAAUCUUGGCAAGCUACUUGUGCAAAAGGGAUACAAAGUGUCGAAGAUUGAUGGAAGAACAAUGAAGAGUGGAGGAACUGAAAUAGUCACUGAAGGCACUUCAGUGAACAAGCAUUUUAUUGUCGCAACUAACAUUAUUGAGAAUGGCGUGACCAUUGACAUUGAUGUGGUUGUGGAUUUUGGAACUAAGGUUGUACCAGUCUUGGAUGUGGACAACAGAGCGGUACAGUACAACAAAACUGUGGUGAGUUAUGGGGAGCGCAUUCAAAGACUCGGUAGAGUUGGGCGACACAAAGAAGGGACAGCACUUCGAAUUGGCCAGACAAAUAAAACACUGGUUGAGAUUCCAGAAAUGGUCGCCACUGAAGCUGCCUUCUUAUGCUUUAUGUACAAUCUACCAGUGACAACACAGAGCGUUUCAACCACGUUGCUGGAGAAUGCCACAUUACUACAAGCAAGAACCAUGGCACAAUUUGAGCUAUCAUAUUUUUACACAAUUAAUUUUGUGCGAUUUGAUGGUAGCAUGCAUCCAGUCAUACAUGAUAAGCUCAAGCGCUUCAAGCUACAUACUUGUGAAACAUUCCUCAAUAAGCUGGCAAUCCCAAAUAAAGGCUUGUCCUCUUGGCUUACGAGUGGAGAGUAUAAGCGGCUUGGAUACGUAGCAGAGGAUGCUGGCAUAAGGAUCCCAUUUGUGUGCAAAGAAAUUCCAGACUCCUUACAUGAGGAAAUUUGGCAUAUUGUAGUCGCUCAUAAAGGUGACUCAGGCAUUGGGAGGCUCACUAGUGUACAAGCAGCAAAGGUUGUCUAUACUCUGCAAACGGAUGUGCACGCUAUUGCAAGGACUCUAGCAUGCAUCAAUAGGCUCAUAGCACAUGAGCAAAUGAAACAGAGUCAUUUUGAAGCCGCAACUGGGAGAGCGUUUUCCUUCACAAAUUACUCCAUACAAAGCAUAUUUGACACGUUGAAGGCAAAUUAUGCUACAAAGCAUACAAAAGAAAAUAUCGCAGUGCUUCAGCAAGCAAAGGAUCAAUUGCUAGAGUUUUCAAACUUAGCAAAAGAUCAAGAUGUCACGAGUAUCAUCCAAGACUUCAAUCACCUGGAAACCAUUUAUCUCCAAUCAGAUGGUGAGGUGGCCAAGCAUCUGAAGCUCAAAAGUCACUGGAAUAAAAGUCAAAUCACUCGGGAUAUCAUAAUAGCUUUGUCUGUGUUAGUCGGUGGAGGGUGGAUGCUUGCAACGUACUUUAAGGAUAAGUUCAAUGAACCAGUUUAUUUCCAGGGGAAGAAGAAUCAGAGGCACAAGCUCAAGAUGAGAGAAGCGCGUGGGGCUAGAGGGCAAUAUGAAGUUGCAGCGGAGCCAGAGGCGCUAGAGCAUUACUUUGGAAGUGCAUACAACAAUAAAGGAAAACGCAAGGGCACUACAAGAGGAAUGGGUGCAAAAUCUCGGAAAUUCAUAAACAUGUAUGGGUUUGAUCCAACUGACUUUUCAUACAUUAGGUUUGUGGAUCCAUUGACAGGUCACACUAUUGAUGAGUCUACAAACGCACCCAUUGACUUGGUGCAGCAUGAAUUUGGAAAAGUUAGAACACGCAUGUUAAUUGAUGAUGAGAUAGAGCCUCAAAGUCUUAGUUCCCACAACACAAUCCAUGCUUAUUUGGUGAAUAGUGGCACGAAGAAAGUGUUGAAGGUUGAUUUGACACCACAUUCGUCGCUGCGAGCAAGUGAGAAAUCAACAGCAAUAAUGGGAUUCCCUGAAAGAGAGAAUGAAUUGCGUCAAACCGGCAUGGCAGUUCCAGUGGCUUAUGAUCAAUUGCCACCAAAGAAUGAGGAGUUGACGUUUGAAGGAGAAAGCUUGUUUAAGGGGCCGCGUGAUUAUAACCCAAUAUCGAGUGCCAUUUGUCAUCUAACGAAUGAAUCUGAUGGGCACACAACAUCGUUGUAUGGUAUUGGUUUUGGCCCUUUCAUCAUCACAAACAAGCAUUUGUUUAGAAGAAAUAAUGGUACACUGUUAGUUCAAUCACUACAUGGUGUGUUCAAGGUAAAGAAUACCACAACUUUGCAACAACACCUCAUUGAUGGGAGGGACAUGAUGCUCAUUCGCAUGCCUAAGGAUUUCCCACCAUUUCCUCAAAAGCUGAAAUUCAGAGAGCCACAAAGGGAAGAGCGCAUAUGUCUUGUGACAACCAACUUCCAAACUAAGAGCAUGUCUAGCAUGGUUUCAGAUACUAGUUGCACAUUCCCUUCAUCUGAUGGUAUAUUCUGGAAACAUUGGAUUCAGACCAAGGAUGGGCACUGUGGUAGCCCGUUGGUGUCAACUAGAGAUGGGUUUAUUGUUGGUAUACACUCAGCAUCAAAUUUCACCAACACAAACAAUUAUUUUACAAGUGUGCCGAAAGACUUCAUGGAUUUAUUGACAAAUCAAGAGGCGCAGCAAUGGGUUAGUGGUUGGCGAUUGAAUGCUGACUCAGUGUUAUGGGGAGGCCACAAAGUUUUCAUGAGCAAACCUGAAGAACCCUUUCAGCCAGUCAAAGAAGCAACUCAACUCAUGAGUGAAUUAGUCUACUCGCAAGGGGAGAAAAGGAAAUGGGUCGUGGAGGCAUUAUCAGGGAACUUGAGGCCAGUAGCCGAGUGCCCUAGUCAGUUAGUCACAAAGCAUGUGGUUAAAGGAAAGUGUCCUCUCUUUGAGCUCUACUUACAGUUGAAUCCAGAAAAGGAGGCAUAUUUUAAACCAAUGAUGGGAGCAUAUAAGCCAAGUCGGCUUAAUAGAGAGGCGUUUCUCAAAGACAUUCUUAAAUAUGCUAGUGAAAUUGAGAUUGGGAAUGUGGAUUGUGACUUGCUGGAGCUUGCAACGAGCAAGCUCAUCACUAAGCUCAAGGUACUAGGAUUUCCAACUGUGAACUACAUCACUGACCCAGAGGAAAUUUUUAGUGCAUUGAACAUGAAAGCAGCCAUGGGUGCACUAUAUAAAGGCAAGAAGAAAGAAGCUCUCAGCGAGCUCAAACCAGAUGAGCAGGAAGCAAUGCUCAAAGCAAGCUCUUUGCGGCUGUAUAUGGGAAAGCUGGGGAUUUGGAAUGGAUCGCUAAAAGCGGACGUGCGCCCAGUUGAGAAGGUUGAGAACAACAAGACACGAACUUUCACAGCAGCACCAAUAGAUACUCUUCUCGCUGGCAAAGUUUGUGUGGAUGAUUUUAAUAAUCACUUUUAUGACCUCAACAUUAAAGCUCCAUGGACAGUUGGUAUGACCAAGUUUUAUCAGGGGUGGAAUGAAUUGAUGGAGGCCUUACCAAAUGGAUGGGUAUAUUGCGACGCCGACGGUUCGCAAUUUGACAGUUCCUUAACCCCAUUCCUUAUUAAUGCUGUAUUGAAAGUGCGACUUGCCUUUAUGGAAGAAUGGGAUAUUGGUGAACAAAUGUUGCGGAAUCUGUACACUGAGAUAGUAUACACACCAAUCCUCACACCGGAUGGUACUGUCAUCAAGAAGCAUAAAGGUAACAAUAGUGGACAACCAUCAACAGUGGUGGACAACACACUCAUGGUCAUUAUUGCAAUGUUGUACACAUGUGAGAAGUGUGGAAUCGACAAGGAUGAAAUUGUGUACUAUGUCAAUGGUGAUGAUUUGUUGAUUGCCAUUCACCCAGAUAAAGCUGAGAGGUUGAAUGAGUUCAAAGAAUCUUUCAGAGAGUUGGGCCUGAAAUAUGAAUUUGACUGCACCACCAGAGACAAGACACAGUUGUGGUUCAUGUCGCACAGGGCCUUGGAGAGAGAUGGCAUGUACAUACCAAAGCUAGAAGAAGAAAGGAUUGUAUCCAUUUUGGAAUGGGACAGAUCUAAAGAGCCAUCACAUAGGCUUGAGGCUAUCUGUGCAUCAAUGAUUGAAGCAUGGGGUUAUGACAAGCUGGUUGAAGAAAUCCGCAAUUUCUAUGCAUGGGUUUUGGAACAAGCACCGUACUCACAGCUUGCAGAAGAAGGAAAGGCGCCGUAUCUGGCUGAGACUGCACUCAAGUUUUUAUACACAUCCCAGCCCGGAACAAACUCUGAGAUAGAAGAGUAUUUGAAAGUAUUGUAUGAUUACGAUAUUCCAACAACUGAAACUCUUUAUUUUCAGAGUGGCACAAUGGAUGCUGGCGCUGAUGCCAGUAAGAAGAAGGAUCAAAAGAAUGAUAAAGUUGUUGAGCAGGCUUCAAAGGAUAGGGAUGUUAAUGCCGGAACCUCAGGAACCUUUUCAGUUCCACGAAUAAAUGCCAUGGCCACAAAACUCCAGUAUCCAAGGAUAAGGAGAGAGGUGGUUGUAAACUUGGAUCACCUUUUGGGAUACAAGCCACAGCAAAUUGAUUUGUCGAACGCUCGAGCCACACAUGAGCAAUUUGCUGCGUGGCAUCAGGCAGUGAUGACAGCCUAUGGAGUGAAUGAAGAGCAAAUGAAAAUACUGCUAAAUGGAUUUAUGGUGUGGUGCAUAGAAAAUGGGACUUCCCCAAAUUUGAAUGGAACUUGGGUCAUGAUGGAUGGUGAGGAGCAAGUUUCAUACCCGUUGAAACCAAUGGUUGAAAACGCGCAGCCAACACUGAGGCAAAUCAUGACACACUUCAGUGACCUGGCUGAAGCAUAUAUUGAGAUGAGGAACAGGGAACGACCAUAUAUGCCUAGGUAUGGUCUACAGAGAAACAUUACAGACAUGAGUUUGUCACGCUAUGCGUUCGACUUCUAUGAGCUAACUUCAAAAACACCUGUUAGAGCGAGGGAGGCGCAUAUGCAAAUGAAAGCUGCUGCAGUACGAAACAGUGGAACUAGGUUGUUUGGUCUUGAUGGCAACGUGGGUACUGCAGAGGAAGACACUGAACGGCACACAGCGCAUGAUGUGAACCGUAACAUGCACACACUAUUGGGGGUUCGCCAGUAAUAGUUUCUGCGUGUCUUUGCUUUCCGCUUUUAAGCUUAUUGUAAUAUAUAUGAAUAGCUAUUUACAGUGGGACUUGGUCUUGUGUUGAAUAGUAUCUUAUAUGUUUUAAUAUGUCUUAUUAGUCUCAUUACUUAGGCGAACGACAAAGUGAGGUUACCUCGGUCUAACUCUCCUAUGUAGUGCGAGA
rnacentral:misc_RNA from 1 species